rnacentral:rRNA from 1 species
AAAUAGAACUUUGCAGAGAGAGUUAAGAGGGCGUGAAACCGUUAAUUGGCAAACGAAUCGGAGCCACGAAGUCGUUUCGCUGAUAGUUGGCCUUAAUUCAAUGUUGGUGCUUGCGCCAAUAUGCAUGUUUAGGCUAACCAAUCUUUGUAAGCGUACACUGCAACUAGUUAGACAAUCAGCGGUGGGCCAAGUGUUGCUGCGGGAGGUAAUGGUUUGAUUCCAUGAAUUUGGAAACCCAAGCUAUUGGCCCGUACGUAAGAGAACUACCAUUGAAUACUGACUAGCAAAAUGAAAAUCGCCUAGCGGCGUUUCUAGAUAAAGCGGCUAGCAUCGUAUGUUGUUACGCGGCUGGCGUGUAUGUUCAAGUUUAACAUUUGAAUUUAGACUUGCUUGCUACCAAUGGGGAAACUCUUGGUGCUUGUAUAGCUCUAUCUAAUUGGGUGUUGACUUAGCGUGCAUGCACCAGUCGUGAAUCGAUUGAUAGCACACGUUAGCAAGUUCGCAGUAUAUUGGCAGUGAGUAGGUCGGCUUUCCGAACGACCCGUCUUGAAACACGGACCAAGGAGUCUAGUUAGGCAUCGAGUCGAUCGGUCUUGAAUAGGCCAGACUUAGUUUCUUAGCUUAAUUGAAGGCGUAGAGAAUCAUGUGAUCUUGCGGCAAUUCCAUGCUACAAGCGCAACAUGUGCCUGCUCGUAUGCCAUUGCGCAAUGUGGUGGGCGGAGUAAAGAGAUGUCUGACUGGUACCCGAAAGAUGGUGAUGCUUGGGCAAAUUGAAGCCAGAGGAAACUCUGGUGGAGGAUUGUAGCGAUUCUGACGUGCAAAUCGAUCGUCAGACCUGAGUAUAGGGGCGAAAGACUAAUCGAACCAUC